rnacentral:rRNA from 1 species
CAAAGAUUAAGCCAUGCAAGUGUCAGUUCAUGCCGAAUAUAAGGUGAAACCGCGAAAGGCUCAUUAAAUCAGUUAUAGUUUACUUGAUGGCAUCACGCGUUACCGUUACUUGGAUAACUGUGGCAAUUCUAGAGCUAAUACAUGCACUCGAGUCCCGACCGCUCGCGCGGAAGGGAUGCUUUUAUUAGAUCAAAACCAAUCGGAACGGAGUGAACGCUUCGGUCCGUGCAAGUUCUUGGUGACUCUGGAUAAAUUUCCGCUGAUCGCGAGGUCUCUGCACCUGCGACGCAUCAUUCGAAUGUCUGACUUAUCAACUAUCGACGGUAGGCCACACGCCUACCGUGGUGGUAACGGGUAACGGGGAAUCAGGGUUCGAUUCCGGAGAGGGAGCCUGAGAAACAGCUACCACAUCCAAGGAAGGCAGCAGGCGCGCAAAUUACCCACUCCCGGCACGGGGAGGUAGUGACGAAAAAUAACGAUGCAGAACUCUUUUCCGAGGCUCUGCAAUCGGAAUGAGAAGACCCUAAAUCAUUUACCGAGUACCAAUUGGAGGGCAAGUCUGG